UACGUAGGGUGCGAGCGUUGUCCGGAAUUAUUGGGCGUAAAGAGCGUGUAGGCGGUCAGGUAGGUCCGUUGUGAAAACUCGAGGCUCAACCUCGAGACGCCGAUGGAAACCAUCUGACUAGAGUCCGGAAGAGGAGAGUGGAAUUCCUGGUGUAGCGGUGAAAUGCGCAGAUAUCAGGAAGAACACCCGUGGCUAAGGCGGCUCUCUAGUACGGUACUGACGCUGAGACGCGAAAGCGUGGGGGAGCGAACAGG
rnacentral:rRNA from 1 species